AACCAGCUUAUACACUUUGUAUAUUAAAAUAAGUUAAAAGCAGUAUAUCAUAUUAUCAUCAUUAUCAUCAUCAAAUUUAGCGCUAAACAUCUAUCUACAUCCUAAUACCGUGUCCUUCAGAAAUCAUAACAUGUCCAGUGUUAGUCACGCCAUUGUUCAAGUGUGCUUAAUAUUAUAAAGUUAUUAACCAACUUAUACACUUUGUUUUCAUUACCGAUUGAUAUGUAUUAAGGAUAGUCCAGCACCAGCACCACCAACAACAGCAACAUCAACAAGUAUUACAUGUGCACAGCAGCCACAACAACAUAUCACUAAGGGAGUGAAAUUGUCUAUGCUCAAAUGCCCAAGUAUAGCUAUUACAUCAACAAGGAAUAGAAGGAAUGAUGAUAGAGAUGUUGACACAGUUAGUCCUUAUGAUGGCGUUGAGAAACAUAUGAAUAUUGCUGAUCACAUGACCGUGACAGCUAGCUAAGCAAAACAAUUGUGAUAACGAGAUUUUAGUUAGUUUUUUCUGUAUUUGAUUGCAGUACUUGUAAAUUUUCAG
rnacentral:lncRNA from 1 species